rnacentral:rRNA from 1 species
UGGGGAAUAUUGGACAAUGGGCGAAAGCCUGAUCCAGCAAUGCCGCGUGAGUGAUGAAGGCCCUAGGGUUGUAAAGCUCUUUUACCCGGGAUGAUAAUGACAGUACCGGGAGAAUAAGCUCCGGCUAACUCCGUGCCAGCAGCCGCGGUAAUACGGAGGGAGCUAGCGUUGUUCGGAAUUACUGGGCGUAAAGCGCGCGUAGGCGGUUUUCCAAGUCAGGGGUGAAAGCCCGGGGCUCAACCCCGGAAUAGCCCUUGAAACUGGAAGACUAGAAUCUUGGAGAGGUCAGUGGAAUUCCGAGUGUAGAGGUGAAAUUCGUAGAUAUUCGGAAGAACACCAGUGGCGAAGGCGACUGACUGGACAAGUAUUGACGCUGAGGUGCGAAAGCGUGGGGAGCAAACAGG